UGGAGGGCCUGGUGGGCGGCGUCAGGCAAGGAGCAAGGCCACAGCUUCCACGAUGACGCCCUAUCACAGGAUAGCCACACACAGUGGGAUGGCGACGUGUCUGGGAUAGGUGCUCCAUGCGUGUGUCCAGAAUCGACACCAUCACGGCCUCAGAGAGCAACCCUGGCUGGCACAGGCCCGUGCAGGCCAGGCUGACGGCCACCCAGAGACACAGCGACUCCAGCAGCACCUGUGCCCCGAUCUCUGGGGCUGCUGGUGAAGUUUUCCUGACUCAAUGAGGACCAGCACCGGGACACCCAGGGCGCCAGGCAUGCCACGUGGAGCGGCUGGAGGACACGUCCUUGCUAGUCGGGGCCUGACAAAACGCGGUCCACUGGAGCAGGGAAUGGCAAAGCACUCUGGUCUCCCCUGCCAGGGCCCCCGCCGCCCGUGCUGAGUGGUGCACAGCCAGAGUCCUGCCGACCUGGAGCCUGGCACCUGGGCAGAAGUUAAGUAGAGACUGAGGGGGAGAAAACCCCUCAUCUUCACGCGGUCAUGCUCAUGCCCUCACUCGCGAACGGGGACGAGAAAUCCGAGGACGGGUGCCCGAGAGAAGAGCCUGCACGGCAGGAAACUGACUGCGGGGCCCCCAGCCCCAAGCCUGCGCUGUGCCCAGAAGCCCAGGAGCCUCGGCGACUGCACCCCUGAGGGUCGCGCAUGAAAAGCCACAGGUCUGCGGGGCAGUCCAGACAGAGACCCGCCAAGCAGCAUUUAUUUACAAAAGCAGAGGGAAACCCGAUCCCUUCCAGAGGGCUCACGGUAAGUUACACGUAAGGUCGGGAAACUCCU
ensembl:lncRNA